GAGUUUGAUUAUGGCUCAGAUUGAACGCUGGCGGCAGGCUUAACACAUGCAAGUCGAACGGAAGCUACUAGCUUGCUAGUAACUUUAGUGGCGAACGGGUGAGUAAUAUUUAGGAAUCUGCCUCAUAACGGGGGAUAGCUCGGGGAAACUCGAAUUAAUACCGCAUACACCCUACGGGGGAAAGGUGGCGCAAGCUGCCGAUAUGAGAUGAGCCUAAAUCAGAUUAGCUAGAUGGUGGGGUAAAGCCUACCAUGGCGACGAUCUGUAACUGGUCUGAGAGGAUGAUCAGUCACACCGGAACUGAGACACGGUCCGGACUCCUACGGGAGGCAGCAGUGGGGAAUAUUGGACAAUGGGCGAAAGCCUGAUCCAGCCAUGCCGCGUGUGUGAAGAAGGCCAUAAGGUUGUAAAGCACUUUAAGCAGGGAGGAAGAACUUUUAGUUAAUAGCUAAAAGUGGUGACGUUACCUGCAGAAUAAGCACC
rnacentral:rRNA from 1 species